ensembl:lncRNA
AUGCCCUCCUGGUGCUGUCUGGUUUGGCUCUUGGGAAUCAGUGGAGCAAUGAGGUUCUGGCUGCACCCAGGGUCUUUAUUUCCUUCAAAGCAGUCGAAGCAAAUACACCUGAGUCUCUCCAGAGAAAAGGGAGGUGUUCCCAAUCCAGCCAAUUCCCACUUUAGGCAUAACACACUCUGGGCUUUAUGCAGAACCUACUCCUUGUUGAAUUUGCUCCAAAUCAAGAAGGCAUCCAAGAAGGCAUCCAGAGGAUGAGUGACCCUUGAGGUGGUUAAAACAGGGCCUUUUCAUCUGAGCCUCCCCGCGAUGACCAAACCUCAUAGAACAAUCCAGGCACUUUGUCAAGAAUUCUAUCUCAUCUGUCUGUUUUGGUGAUCCUGUUUUGUUUUUUUGACACAGCACUUCAAACAAUACAUUUCGAUCUUAGUCUUAUUUUUUUUUAAAUACAGUUUUACAGAGCUUGCAUUUCUUACCCCACUUAUGAACAGGUCUUCAUAAAGAACCACUUUGAUGAAGAUGAUGUUUUUGGUGUUUUUGUGACAUUUUUCUAAUGAUGGAGGGUGUAAAUAAAGAAAGUUUAGCUCAAAAUUGUUUUUCUGAGCAUUUCUUUAUUCAAAUUUUUGUGAAUCAGGAGCAGAUUGAAAAAAUCCCAUUGAAAGAAGAGCUUAUUAGUGAUGUAGAAAAUAUGCUGGGUUUAAACAGAGAGCUCUCUGCAACGAGGAAUGGAAGAAGGGGCUCAGUCCAUUUAUCUUAUACAGUCAGUUGCAUGUAGAGCAGUUGUGCAAACCCUCACAACCCCUUAUGUGAUUCAGUGGGUUGAGUUAUGGUAGCUUUGACGUUCACCAUGGCAUAUGGUAUCUAUAUAUGAAAUCUGUUAUCUUUUGUUGGACUUUGUUUAAUAGAAAAUUACCUCAAACAAACAUUUGAUGGAUCUUAGCGUUUUUUUCAUGCAUCAUUUUAUCUGCAGUGUUCACCAAUGUACAGAAAUACUGGGAACCACAUGAUUUUCUGGUGUUUUAAGCUCACCUUGUGCUUCUAGUAUAAAAGCAUACAUGCAUACAUGUUUAUAGCUUUCAUUUACUGUGCUCUCCUGUUAUUCAUUCUUCUUACAUGUGUACAGUUUUGGGGAGCUUUGUAAUAUUUAUGACUGCUGCAGCAGCUUGAACUAAAACAACAGUUAUUAUAAAGAUAAAUGUAUGUAUACUCAACUUUGAUGGCAUGACUUCAUUUUGCCUUUUUCACCUUGUUCAAAAAUGAGCAGAAAACAGGCUUGUAUAAAAUCUAGCAACCAAACUGCGUCACCAUUCUGAGAGAGCAUGUAACACUCAAGUGUCACGUUUGCUCUUCCAUUCCUCAGGCAUCCUGUCACUCUCCAAGUUCUACUUAAACAGCCCAGUCAGAAACAUUACUGCUUCCUCUCCUUAAACUCUCCAUACCUUCACAGAUACUGUAUGUAAGCACCAACCACUCUUCAUCCACUUCAAAGUCUUCCUCACUUCAUUCCUACUUAUCUUUGCUACUUUCUGCUCCAUAGCCUUUUCUUAUCAGUCACCCGCUCCUCAAAGUUCUCCGUCCAUCUUUGUGUCCAACCUUUCAUACUAGUCCCUAUACAACCAUUUGUUUCACCUCCACCUUCACCUCGUGUUACAUCUGCUCACACUCCUGUCUGCUGUCCCACUUUUUCUUAGCUAAUCUUUUCCUCUUGACACACUCCUAAAGUUCUUCCGUCCACCGCCAAGUCUCAUUAUCUGCUUUCCUCAUGACACACCAAGUACCUUCCUCCCAGUGUAAGAUAAGAGAAUUUUGAGUCCUGCACACAAACGAUAGUUUUGAAAAAAGUAUUUUCAAUGUGGUAUGCGUUACCCCUGAGCAUUUGGUAGGCAUCCAUCCUCACUGUCCACUUAAAAGAAAAAUCCAAAAACUCAUUCUUACAGCAAGUCAUUUGACCCAGCAUGAGGCUGUGGUCUGCUGGGAUGUAUUAGUUUGCUUUUUUUUUACUGCAUCACUUUGACUCUUCCUAUUUAAUUGUUUUUAUCCUUUUAAUUUCAAUUUUAAUGUUUGAAUUUAUUGUACGGCACCUUGUUUGACUGCGGUCAUGUUAGGGCACAGUACACAUAAACUGCUAGAUUCAAAGAUUAAAAGACCUUGAAUCACAC